rnacentral:rRNA from 1 species
UACAGAGGGUGCGAGCGUUGUCCGGAAUCACUGGGCGUAAAGGGCGCGUAGGCGGCCUGAUAAGUAGGGGGUGAAAUCUCGCGGCUCAACUGCGAGGCUGCCUCCUAAACUGUCGGGCUCGAGCACAGUAGAGGCAGGUGGAAUUCCCGGUGUAGCGGUGGAAUGCGUAGAGAUCGGGAAGAACAUCGGUGGCGAAGGCGGCCUGCUGGGCUGUUGCUGACGCUGAGGCGCGACAGCGUGGGGAGCAAACAGG